AUACGUAGGUGACAAGCGUUAUCCGGAUUUACUGGGCGUAAAGGGCGUGUAGGCGGUCUUGCAAGUCAGAAGUGAAAUUCCUGAGCUCAACUCGGGCGCUGCUUCUGAAACUGCAGGACUUGAGUGCUGGAGGGGAUAGCGGAAUUCCUAGUGGAGCGGUAAAAUGCGCAGAUAUUAGGAAGAACACCGGUGGCGAAGGCGGCUAUCUGGACAGUAACGGACGCUGAGGCGCGAAAGCGUGGGGAGCAAACAGGAUUAGAUACCCUGGUAGUCCGCACAGUAAACGAUGGACACCCGCGGUUUGGCCUGUAUGGCUGAGCCGCCAAGCGAAAGCGUUAAGUGUCCCACCUGGGGAGUACGCCGGCAACGGUGAAACUCAAAGGAAUUGACGGGG
rnacentral:rRNA from 1 species